GAUGAACGCUGGCGGCGUGCCUAAUACAUGCAAGUCGAACGAAGAGUAUUUGUAGUAAUACAGAUGCUUCUUAGUGGCGAACGGGUGAGUAACGCGUUGGUGACCUGCCCCAAAGUGUGGGAUAACAGUCCGAAAGGAUUGCUAAUACCUCAUGUGGUCUUCGGAAUUAGAAACCGAUUUCUAAAGGGGUAAUCCGCUUUGGGAGGGGCCUGCGUCCCAUCAGCUAGUUGGUGAGGUAAUGGCUCACCAAGGCUUCGACGGGUAAGGGGCCUGAGAGGGUGGCCCCUCACAAUGGAACUGAAACACGGUCCAUACACCUACGGGUGGCAGCAGUAGGGAAUAUUGGGCAAUGGGCGAAAGCCUGACCCAGCAACGCCGCGUGUGCGAUGAAGGUCUUCGGAUCGUAAGGCACUUUUCUGGGAGAUGAGAAAGGACAGUAUCCCAGGAAUAAGCCUCGGCUAACUACGUGCCAGCAGCCGCCGUAAUAC
rnacentral:rRNA from 1 species